rnacentral:rRNA from 1 species
UACGGAGGAUCAAGCGUUAUCCGGAUUUAUUGGGUUUAAAGGGUGCGUAGGCGGCCUGUUAAGUCAGGGGUGAAAGACGGUAGCUCAACUAUCGCAGUGCCCUUGAUACUGAUGGGCUUGAAUGGACUAGAGGUAGGCGGGAAUAGACAAGUAGCGGUGAAAUGCAUAGAUAUGUCUCAGAACACCGAUUGCGAAGGCAGCUCACUACACAGUUAUUGACGCUGAGGCACGAAAAGCGUGGGGAUCAAACAGG